CACGUAGGGGGCAAGCGUUGUCCGGAUUUAUUGGGCGUAAAGAGCUCGUAGGCGGCUCAGUAAGUCAGGUGUGAAACCUCCAGGCUCAACCUGGAGACGCCACCUGAUACUGCUGUGGCUAGAGUCCGGUAGGGGAGCGUGGAAUUCCUGGUGUAGCGGUGAAAUGCGCAGAUAUCAGGAGGAACACCGAUGGCGAAGGCAGCUCGCUGGGACGGUACUGACGCUGAGGCGCGAAAGCGUGGGGAGCAAACAGG
rnacentral:rRNA from 1 species